rnacentral:rRNA from 1 species
UACAGGGGGUGCAAACGUUGCUCGGAAUCAUUGGGCGUAAAGCGCACGUAGGCGGUUUGUUAUGUCGGAUGUGAAAGCCCUUGGCUCAACUGAGGAAGUGCAUCCGAAACUGGCAAGCUAGAGUACUAAAGAGGGUCGCGGAAUUCCCGGUGUAGAGGUGAAAUUCGUAGAUAUCGGGAGGAACACCGGUGGCGAAGGCGGCCUGCUGGGCAGUUUAGCUGACACUGAGGCGCGACAGCGUGGGGAGCAAACAGG